rnacentral:rRNA from 1 species
AUAGGAGACAAGAGGGCAUCUUCUUGUUUUUAAAAGACCUAGCAAUAGGUAUGCUUAGGGAGGAGCUUGCGUCACAUUAGUUAGUUGGUGGGGUAAAGGCCUAACAAGACUAUGAUGUGUAGCCGGGCUGAGAGGUUGAACGGCCACAUUGGGACUGAGACACGGCCCAAACUCCUACGGGAGGCAGCAGUAGGGAAUUUUCGGCAAUGGAGGAAACUCUGACCGAGCAACGCCGCGUGAACGAUGAAGUAUUUCGGUACGUAAAGUUCUUUUAUUAGGGAAGAAUAAAUGAUGGAAAAAUCAUUCUGACGGUACCUAAUGAAUAAGCCCCGGCUAACUAUGUGCCAGCAGCCGCGGUAAUACAUAGGGGGCAAGCGUUAUCCGGAAUUAUUGGGCGUAAAGGGUGCGUAGGCGGUUAAAUAAGUUUAUGGUCUAAGUGCAAUGCUCAACAUUGUGAUGCUAUAAAAACUGUUUAGCUAGAGUAAGAUAGAGGCAAGUGGAAUUCCAUGUGUAGUGGUAAAAUGCGUAAAUAUAUGGAGGAACACCAGUAGCGAAGGCGGCUUGCUGGGUCUUUACUGACGCUGAGGCACGAAAGCGUGGGGAGCAAACAGGAUUAGAUACCCUGGUAGUCCACGCCGUAAACGAUGAGUACUGAACGUUGGGUAAAACCAGUGUUGAAGUUAACACAUUAAGUACUCCGCCUGAGUAGUACGUACRCAAGUAUGAAACUUAAAGGAAUUGACGGGACUCCGCACAAGCGGUGGAUCAUGUUGUUUAAUUCGAAGGUACCCGAAAAACCUCACCAGGUCUUGACAUGCUUCUGCAAAGCUGUAGAAACACAGUGGAGGUUAUCAGUUGCACAGGUGGUGCAUGGUUGUCGUCAGCUCGUGUCGUGAGAUGUUGGGUUAAGUCCCGCAACGAGCGCAACCCUUAUUGUUAGUUACCAGCACGUAAUGGUGGGGACUUUAGCAAGACUGCCAGUGAUAAAUUGGAGGAAGGUGGGGACGACGUCAAAUCAUCAUGCCCCUUAUGACCUGGGCUACAAACGUGAUACAAUGGCUGUUACAAAGGGUAGCUGAAGCGCAAGUUUUUGGCAAACCYCAAAAAAACAGUCUCAGUUCGGAUUGAAGUCUGCAACUCGACUUCAUGAAGUUGGAAUCGCUAGUAAUCGCGAAUCAGCAUGUCGCGGUGAAUACGUUC